rnacentral:lncRNA from 1 species
AAAACCAGCGGACUUAAUCCAUAAACAUCUAUGCAAAAAAAGGAAAGUAAAAAAAAAAAGAGACUUAGUCCAGUUCGAAAAUGAAUUUUUACCCAUUUCAAGCUUUUCUAGAAAGCUCAUUAAUCCUCUAUUGUCGGUUACAGUUCUCCGAGGCUCACGAUUAAUCUUUUCUAAGAUCACCAUCCAUCGCUCUCUUUGAUCUUCAGAAACCCUAAAACACUCUUCAAUCGGGUUCUCGUUCUCUCUGAUGUCCCGGUCCCAGCGAUUCCUAAGCAUAUUUUGGCACCACGCCUUCUAGGUAAAUCUCUUCGUUCCUUCUUAAACUUUUUGAUGCUAGUCUAUGAGCAAUUAUGUUGGCUGAUUUUUGCACAUGUUUGAAAUGGAUGCUUUGAAACCCUCUCCGAUUGUGAUGAAUGUCUCUGAUGUAUGCACUUAUUUCUGAUUUGUCAAUGGCUAUGGACUGACAUUUCUUUAUUAUCGUUAAUGCAUCGCCUUCCACUUCUAACUUGUCCACUCCCAUUGCUAAACCCAACCACACCGCUUGAGAACAUGCACGCACCUUUGCUACAAAUGGCGAUGUAAUCUCAAUGUUUAGCAACGAUUUCAAGACCAAAACCUUCACCUCUGUCAUUCCUAUUCACCAAUCCCGAUGCCGAUCUACACUACCUACAGUCAAAAGCCACGUCAAAAUUGGUUUUUAUGAAGUGGGUUUCCAGUGAGCACCACUCAGACAUUGCCCACUGUUUGGUAAGGGAUCUCGCCCCUAUUUAAUCAAUCUCUUUAAUGUACCUCUAGGUUAUUUCAGCGAUCCCUCUCCCAGUACUAACCUUCCCUUCAUGCAGAGUCUUAUUAUGUUCAGUCCAAAUAACCCAUAAGACAGUACAGAAAGAACGACAUUAAGCAGUGGUACUCCUACUGAAAACCCAGGUAAGCCAUUCCCAGUCUCCUAAAUGCUGCAUCGAUGUAACCCAUAUGAGAUCUAAGGCAAUCCAUGCUUCUAUUGGUACAGUGCAUACUUGAAAUACAUGCAUAAUAUUCUCCUCUCUCCCUCUGCAUCUUGGACACACAUGACUUCCCCCCAGCCUACGCAUUUGUAAAUUACUAAAAGUGGGCAAAAAACCCCCCAUGAGAUUCUCCAAAUUAAUUAUAAAUAAACACAUAUAAAAUAAUAUAUGGACAGAAUUAGUUAUAGUUAAUUUAUCAAAUAUGAAAAUAAAAUAAAACCAUAUUAAACAAUUGAAAUAAAUGAGAAUUGAGAUUUUACGAAACGUUGAGGCCCGUGAAACGUGGUUUCCUUAAGAUAAGUUUCCCUAUAUAACCUUUCAAGAGAGUUCACAUAUAUAAACACAUGCCACACUUGGUAUUUAACCAAUGUGGGAUUUAAUCCUUUUAUUUUUCCUCAACAAUAUUUCUAAGUAGCUUACUUUGAGCUUCAAUUUCUCAUUCAUCACUCAACCCUUUUGAGCAUAUGAUAUACCGUUGUAAAGGUCUCAUGGAGUAGAAUAUGAAAUCAUAAAAUUAUGAUUCAACUCUCUACCUUUACCUAUUGAGAAUAUGCCUCAAAGUUACCAUCAAAUGUAAUUUUUCCAACAAUCUCCCACAUGAAUAAAAAUUGAUAGUUUUAUCGAAAAACAUUGACUCGAUGUGGUGAUAGAAUCUACAAUCGAUAGUUGUAUAGGAUAGGUAGGUAUCCACCCUUGAACCUUCCCUUGCGAAAGUAUAUUUAUUUUACUAGUUGACCAGUAGACGUGAUGUCCUUGAACUGUUCUGCCUUUUGUGUAAACGAUGAUAUAUCUCACACAACUACCUCAUUGGUAAGGUUUUAGUUCUCCUGGGUAUGUUCAUAUAGCCGUGAACAUCUCCUAGUUCUGUAAGAGUUUGAGAGAACUAUGCCCCAAUAGUCUCCUUGAAGCGGCCUCACUUCACUCUCACAUAGGUGACUUAUGUUGUUCGGCUCACCGAAACACACAAUGGUCAUUUAAAGCAUUGCUUAACCUAUUCCCUUUUUAGUCACUGUUUACGUUAUAGGAACGGAUUUGGGAUAAGUACCCCCACAGUGACCUCACAAGGUCUAUGCAAUUAGCCCUUUGAACCUAGAUCUUGGGAUCUCCAGUCAAUUAGGUAGGGUUUUCCUUCACAUAGCGCCUUUUAUUUUCAUGAGAUUUAGUCACAUUCCUUUCAAUGUUUUAAUAACAUGAUCUCGGUUUAAGCCUUAGUUAGCAUAUCCACAAUGUAGAUAACUCCGUUUGAGAUAAUUUGUUUAACAAUAUUAUGUCGACUACACAUAUUUCUCGACUUACCAUUAUAUGUUAUGCUAGUAAGACACCCCCACACUUUCAAGUGGUUGUAAGAUGGUUUUCUACCUUUCCAUAACUCAUAUGGUGUCUUGUCCCUUUUCUUACAGAAAACCUUAUUUAAAAGGUAAUUAGCUGAUAGAAAUGCUCCCCCUUACAUUUCAUGUGAUAACCCAGAGCUUUUUAGCUGUGCGUUCAUCUUUUCUUUUAGAAUCUGAUUUUCUUCUUGGUUAUUCUAUUUUAGGAAAGUAUGGUGGUGUUAUUGAAAUGAUUCAAUAUAUCCACCACCACGAUUACUUAACCUUUUUAUUAAGUUGGUUUUCAACUUUUUGCUUAUAGAGAAUAAAUUCUCUUUGUCUUAACUCGUAGUAAUGAAGGAAAUAAACAUUUUUAUUCCUUCCUCUCAUUUAAACAGGCUUUACAAACAUUGCUAUGUAUUAGAUCAAGUGAUUUUUUUGACCUUUAUUAAUUUACCUCAACACAUGUUUUACAUUUAUAAUUAUAAUUAUUACUAAACGAAGGAAUGUGCUCUAAGUUAAUUUAUGUACGUAAAGUACCAUAAUUAACAUAUCCGAGCCUACUAUGCCAUUAAUUAAAUGACUUAAGCAUAUGAACAAGAAAGAACAACAUUCUUAUUCAAACAUAGUAUUUAGUUUAAUACAUAUUUCCUUCCUACAAAUAUUCGCCUUUACUAAGAACAUUCAUAUUCAUAGUUAGACACAUAAUUCCAUAUCGGGCACUUCCUUGGAAAUUUCUUCCACAACGUUAACCUCGUUAGCUCUAAAUUUCUUUGGGAUCCUACAGUUGGAUGACUUGUGCCCCAUCUUGCUGCAAUUGCAGCAUUUUCCUUAAAAUUUUUGCUUCUUCAAAACACCACCUUUUGGUCCCAGUUUAGGCCCAUUUUGCGAUUGUUUUUCCUUCUUGAAGUCUUUCUUGACUUCUACGACAUUUGCUCUAGCAACAUUAUCAUUUCUUGCUUUGUUGAGCCUCUUUUUCGUACCUCUAUUAUCUUCUUCAAUCCAAAUUUUGACAAUUAGGUCUUCCACUGACACGUCCUUUCUUUUGUGCUUUAGGUAAUUCUUGAAGUCAUUCCAAGUAGGAGGCAACUUUUCAAUAAUGCCUGCCACUUGGAAGGAUUCACUUAUUAUGAUCCCUUUAGCAAAAAUUUUGUGAAUGAUUAGUUGAAGUUCCUGCACUUGAUUCACAACUAAUUUAGAAUCAACCAUUACAAAAUUCAAGAAUUUAGCAACUAAGAACUUUUUAGUUCCAACAUCCUCUGCUUUGUAUUUAUGGUCUAACGAUGUCCAUAAUUCCUUAGUUGUUUUCUUAACAUUAUACACUUUGUAUAGUGCAUCCGACAAUCCAUUUAGGAUGUAGUUUUGGCAUAGGAAAUCUGAAUGUUUCCAAGCUUCAACAGCAGUGAAAGCGGUAACUUCAUCUACCUCGCUCUCUUUAAUAGUAGGAGAGUCAUUUUUCAAAAAUUUGGCCAAGUUCAACAUGAUAAACUAAAACAACCUUUUUUGUUGCCAAGUCUUGAAAUCCUGUCCCGAGAAUUUUGCAGGUUUCUCGUUGUGGCUUAUAGCAGCCGCAAUGUAACAACCCAAAUUUUGGGCUAGUCGGAAUAGUGGUUUCGGGACCACAAAUUCGACGAGAAAAAAUAUUUAUUUUCAUUAUAUUUUUAUGGUCUACGAUUUCACAAAAUAAUUUCGUGAAAAUUUCGUUCAAAAAUUUUGACGUUUAGGCACUCAAUUUAGUCAAAAGGACUAAAUUGUAAAAAGUGCAAAAGUUGAGUUCUACAUGUUAGAAGUGUCCAAUUGUUAUGAAAUUUUAAAUUGGAGGUCCCUAAAUGGUAAUUAGACCAUUGUUUAACUUGUUGGACAAAAAUAGAAAAGAGAUAAGUGAAAUAGGAAAAUUUUAAGUUGGGGGCAUUUUGGUCAUUUAGUAACUAAAAGAAUUAAAAAGGCCAAAAUAACCAAAAAUUUGUUCAUCUUCUCCAUGGUGAAUGAAAUCAGCAAGGGGGAAGCCAUAUUUAGGGUUUUCAAGAUUCCAAGCUCUAUUUUUAAUGUUCUUUACGUUUUUGGAGUCCCAAUAACUUAAUUUAGCUUAUUCUAGCAAUAAUUUAAUCUAGGGUUUAUAUUUGAAAAAAUACCCAUAGGUGAAAUAUGUUUAUUUUGAUGUUUUAUGGCAGAAUAUGAAGCUUGAAAUUAUGUUAAAUAACUUUUGCUAGCCGAUUUUAAGUGAAAACGAGUAAAUUGACAUAAUAGGUAAAAAUACCUAAUGUUCAUAAGUAAGUGUUAGAGUGAGAAUUUGAUGUUGCCAUAUAAGGGAAAAAUGUUCAACAUGUCAUAAAACAUAAGAAAAGGAAUAAAGUUUAAUUUCUAAGCCUAGGGGCAAAAUUGUAAUUUUGUGAAAUUUUAGGGGCAAAAAUGUAAUUUUUCUAAAAUGUGAUUUUUGGACUGGAUUGAAUAAUUUGAGUGUUAAAUAAGUUAAAUGUGUUAUUAUAAGUCAAGAAAGACAAUGAAUUGACUUUGAUUAGUGAAAAAGGAAAAAAUGAGAAAAAAUGAGAAAUUUCCUGAUUUAACAUUCAAAAUAAAAAGGGAUACGAAUGAAGUGACAGAAAUGAUUACAUGUGUGGCAUGGAUUGUGUGUAGGCCACUAUGUGAAAGUGAAAGUCAUGGUCACGUGUGUAGUACUAUAUGCAGGCUACUACGUGUACCAAAAUGAUAGGUCGUAUUUGUAGUACUAUGUGCAGGCUACUAUGCGUACUAGAUAGCUUCGAUCACGUGUGUAGUACUAUGUGUAGGCUACUAUGUGUAUCGGAUAGUGAUGGUCACAUGUGUAGUACUAUGUGCAGUCUACUAUGUGAACCCGUAUCAUUAAUUAUAAGGUGAUUGCUAUGUGCUGAUCCCACCGGAUAUCAUUGAUUACAAAGGGUGGUUGCUGUGUGUUGAAUCCACCGUGUAUCUGUUAUUAUUCCGAAGUGUUCAUCGGGAAAUUGACUAAGUGAAAAUACAUGAGAUCAUGUAACGAUUAAGUGUGAUUGAAUGAUGAAUAUAUGUGUGGAAUUGAAUUGAAUAAUGAUUGAAAGUGAAAAAGGGAAAUUAUGAAAAAGUAAAAUUAGCAACAAAACAGUUUUGGACAGUAACAAUAGUGUGACUUUGAAAAAUCACCAAAAAUGGUUAAAAUUGAAUUAGAGAGUGAAUGAGAUAUGAAAUGAAAUCUUAAUGAGUCUAUUUUUACAUAAAAGAAACAGAGCAAGCAGAAGAGUUAUAUAUUUUGAGAUAUUUGAAUUUUAGUGAGGUAGGAUCGGAUUGAUUUUGGAAUCCCCUGUCCUAACUUUGGAAAAUAAUUACAAAUUGUACAAAAAUAAUAUGAGUUAUGAUUUAUAUGCUUAGAAUCCUUAAUGAGUCUAUUUUCAAAGGAAAUAAACGGAAAUAUCAUCUAAAUUCUGUAAAAUGAGAUAAUUCAUUUUUAGUGAAGAAAGGUCAGAGAUGUUGAGCAGUGAAACAAGGGUGAUUUAAAUAAUAAAAUUUACUAAUUAGCUAAGCCAAAAAUUCUUAAAAUUUUAUGGUAUGAAGAUAUGGGAGUCUAGUUUCGGGAAAAAUUAACGGAACUUAAUUUGGAGCUCUAUAGCUCCAGAUAAAAAUAAUUUAGUGACUGUAACUCGACUAGACAACUUUGAAUUUAAAUAUAAGUGAAUAGUGAAAUUAUGUAUAAUGCUAUUUAAGAAUGUUAUAUAGAUAAAGGUUGUGGGAUGGAGAGGAGGAGGAGGACAAUAAAGUAUAUGAAUUAAUUGUGUAUAAUUGGUUAAAUGUCUGAUUAUAAUCGAUAAAUGUUGAAAUAGGAGUGAUGCUUAUAUUGGUGCAUUAUUGGUCAUGGUCAGCUCAUGAGAGAAAACAAAGUUUCAUAGCAUAUGCGUGUGGUAUAUUUGGCAUGAAAUGGUGUCAUGAGUGGCUCAUGAAUUAACUGAUGUUGGUAAGUUGAUGCAUAAUUAUAGUUUUCAAAUAUAUACAUAUUUGUAAUAUUUUGUUAUGUGAUUCGAAAAAGGGGAAUAAAUAGUAUACUAAAAAUUCGGCCAUGGUGCUAGUUUAUGUUGAAGGAGUGUUUUAUGACAUAUCUUAAGUAAUGGAAUGUUAUGAAUUUUGAGAUUAAUUUGCUAGUCAAAUAAAUGACAAAUGAAUUGAUUACGUAUUCGUAAUUUUGACAUAUGCUUGGUAUAUGAAACGUAACAAUAUAUGCUUGAAUAAAUUUUAAGUAUUCGAAUGACAUGGAUUUAUGGUGAUAAGAUCCGAACAUUGAAUUCAUGAAGCACAGGUGAUGUAUUAUUGUUGUGUGAUAGCUUGGUUCGAGGAAUUGGUUAGGUAAAUGGUAAAUGAAAGCAUUUAUGGCUAUAGAAGAAAAUUUGGAGUGAAUAUAGAUCAAAGAUAUUGAGCAGUGAAAUAGGGGUGACUUUAAAGAAUAAAAUGUACUAAUUGUCUAAGACAAAAAUUCUGAAAAUUUUAUGGUAAGAAUAUAUGAGAGUCUAGUUUCGGGGAAAAUUAACGGAACUUAAUUUGGAGCUUUGUAGAUCUGGAUAAAAAUAAUUUAGUGACUGUAACUCGACUAGACAACUUUGAAUUUAAAUAUAAGUGAAUAGUGAAAUUAUGUAUAAUGUUAUUUAAGCAUGUUAUAUACAUAAAGGAUGUGAGAUGGAGAGGAGGAGGAUGACAAUAAAAUAUAUGAAUGAAUUGUGUAUAAUUGGUUAAAUGUCUGAUUAUAAUCGAUAAAUGUUGAAAUAGGAGUGAUGCGUAUAUUGGUGCAUUACUGGUCAGCUCAUGAGAGAAUAAAGUUUCAUAGCAUAUGCGUGUGGUAUAUUUGGCAUGAAAUGAUGUCAUGAGUGGCUCAUGAAUUAACUGAUGUUGGUAAGUUGAUGCAUAAUUAUAGUAUUCAAAUAUAUACAUAUUUGUAAUAUUUUGCUAUGUAAUUCGAAAAAAGGGGAAUAAAUAGUAUACUAAGAAUUCGGCCAUGGUGCUAGUUUAUGUUGCAUGAGUGUUUUUAUGACAUAUCUUAAGUAAUGGAAUGUUAUGAAUUUUGAGAUUAAUUUGCUAGUCAAAUAAAUGACAAAUGAAUUGAUUACGUAUUCGUAAUUUUGACAUAUGCUUGGUAUAUGAAACGUAAUAAUAUAUGCUUGAAUAAAUUUUAAGUAUUCGAAUGACAUGGAUUUGAUGGUGAUAAGAUUCGAACAUUGAAUUCAUGAAGCACAGGUGAUGUAUUAUUGUUGUGUGAUAGCUUGGUUCGAGGAAUUGGCUAGGUAAAUGGUAAGUGAAAGCAUUUAUGGAUAUAGAAGAAAAUUUGGAGUGACUAUGAAAUUUAGUUCAAUUAAAUGAUUUCAUCAAUUAAAUAUUGUGUAUACCAGAAUGUGUUAGUGAAUUACAUAUUCGUAAAUUGACAUUCAAAGUUCAGUUAGUGAUAUAUGAAAAUAACAUGAAAAGAUUUAUAAUUGUGAUUAAUAUUGGUUCUGACUUAAAGUGGAUUCUUCAAUAUUGGAUUGAUUUAAUGGAUAUAUUGGGCAUAUGAAUAGGUAUGUAUUGGGCCUCGUAAACCCUAAUUAGCAACUCGAAGAUAAUAAUUUGAAAGUUUUUAAUUUGGAUGGAAUUUUAUAACUCGAUUUAAUAUGUUUAUAAGUGUAUUUAUUCUGGUAAUGUCUUGUACCUUAUUCCAGCAUAGAAUACGAGUAAGGGGUGUUACAAUGUGACAUCACCAGAUUUGGCCCUAAUAUUUAGGUCUGGUUUGGGGUGUUACAUUUAGUGGUAUCAGAGUUAUGGUUUAGUCGGUUCUCGGACUAACAUAGGGUAUGUGAGUUUAGCUAUAUAUGUCAUAUUAUUACUCGUGAUAGUGUAAUACCUUCUGCCUCUAAGGAAAUUGUUCUGUUAAGACAGAGAUGACUUCUAACCGAGCUGCUUUCAAUAAUGCUGAAAAUUUAUAUUGAGGUAAUUGAAAUGUGUUUAUGAUGAAACGAAAUUUAGAAAGGUAUAAAUAAUGAAAGAAUAAACUUAAAAUUAUAUGAUUGAAUUUUUCCUCAAGUAAAUUUGAUUAAAGUUAGUAAGUUCAAUAAAAAUAUCUGUUUCCUUAAACUAAUAUGGUUAAAGGAUCUUUGGUUUGCAUGCUAAAAGAAUGUUGAAAGAUUGUGUGUUUGAGCUGUAUCCUCAGCAUGAAGAAAAUAGUAUCUUGAUAUGUUAGUGUUUGAUAUUUGAAAUCAAUACAGUUGUUUUAUUAAAGUGAAUUGAAUUAUCGAGAUGUGAUUUGAGUUAUAUGUAACUAAGCAUGUCCUCAACUAAGAGAAUAAAUUCGGUGCACUUAUGAGUAUGAAGAUAGAUAGUCAGAAUGAAAAAAAAAAUUCUAUAUUUCAGAAAGUAUGAAAAGAGAUGAUCAUAAGUUAAAAAAAAAGCUUAUAUUGUGAUAAGCUCAUCCAAGUAUGUUGGUGCUUAUAUGAUGCUAUGCUCUCAACAUAUUUGAUUAAGUGAAUAUGGUAAGCGAAUUUACUUAAAUAGAUGGAAUGUGUGUUUAUGUAUAUUUGUUAGAAUAAGUGAAAUCAGUAUGUGCAUAUGGUAGAAUCUUAUGUUUAAUUGUUAAGUUAAAGAAAAUAAUAUAUUUUUUUAUGUCUUUACUAUUAAACCAUGAAUAUUAUAAUAGUAUGAAAAUUGAAUUGGAAGAUUAAAUUUAGAACGCAAGAAUGAGUAUUUUCGUUCAGUGAUAUGUGAUGAAUUAACGAAAAAGACCAUGGUUGGACCAUGGCAACAUGUGAUUUGUGAUUUUCGUAUAAGACCAUAUCUGGGAUAUGUCAUCGGUGUGAUAUGUGCUACUGUGUAAGACCAUAGCCGGACUAUGACAUCAAUAUGUAAAUUUGUGUAAGAUCAUAGUUGGACUAUGGCAUAGAGAAAAUGAAGUACUCAAUUCUGUAAGACGUUCUCUAAUUGAAUAAAUGUCGGUAAGUAUCGAAAUUUAAAUAGAUAUUAAUAUUGAGCUCGAGUAAAUAAAUUCAUUGUGUGAAAUUGUGGGUGGCAGAAAAUAUUCAUAAUAAAUUGAUGUGUUAAUUUGUUUGGAAUGAACUACGUGGUUAUGAUGGUAUUACAUUGAUGAUGAAUGCAAAGUCAUAUAUAUAUGUGUAUCUAUGAGAGUAAGUUAAAAGCUUUAUGUCUUCACCUUCACCCCCUCAUCAGUAUUGUUUUAUGAAAAAAUUAUCUUGAUGAGAUAGAUAUGUUUUUUAACUGAAUUAAUUCUAACAGUAUAGAAGUAAACACUUAAAUGUUUGAGUGAAAAUGUAUUGAUUAUGAGUUGAAACUCAUAAAGGCAUGGAUAAAAGAGUAUAACAUUUUGUUAUUGAUAAAUGUUAUAAUUAUAUGAGCACAUGACUUAUGAUAUUUGGAUUAUGAUGGUAUAUAGAAAUUUCGAUUGUGAAUUAGUGAUUUGAGUUGGCAUAUGAAUUAUGUGUUGAGAACAAAAGUGAUUAAAAGCAAUGUUUAUUAAAUGCUUUAAGAAUGUGAAAUUAGUAAUGAAUUGGCUAUUUGUGAUAGUAUGUGUCAUGCGCAUUUAUGUGUAAGAUAAAUCUGAGGCUUUACUACACUCACCCCCCAUAUCAGUAAAAUGUUACAAUGAAAUUUGUAAGAUGUUGGUUGAAUAAGCUUACGAGUGUAGUGUUACAGAAGUUUGUGUACGGAAGAUUAAUAAUGUGGUCAGAAAAGUGAAUGAAUUAGAAAAUAAAGACAAUAUAAAAAAAGAGAUAUUGGAUAGUUUUGAAAACUACUCAGAUUAUGCAAAGUUGUUGUCACAAAAGAAGUUAAAUCCGAUUAAAUGAUUUAUUUAAGUAUGUUAUUUAAAUAAAGAAUUAACCAAAAGCUUUUCUGGAUCGAUUUCUGUUAGUAAAGAGAUAAUGUGAAAAUUCUGAUGACAGAAUUAGACAAUUGAGUAAUGUUUGUAUUGUAUUAAUAGCUGAGUACAGUAGCUAUAAUGGGGUAAUUACUAUGAUUCCUUUUAGACAUUCUGUGUGUACAAUUAUCCUCAGAAGUAUAUGUGACUGUUUAGUUUCAAAAAAAAUUCUUAUCGUAUGAGAACAUUAGCUAAACAUAUUAAUAGAUGAAAGAAUUAUUGGUUUGUUUGGGUUAUGUUCGACAUUUCCAUGUUUUUUUUGGUAUUUAUUCCCUUGUGUGAAUAUGAAAAUCGACAGUAAAGUCUGUGUGAGGCUAAUAUUUUGUUUCUACUGGUUAUUGUUCUAUUGAAUAUACGUGAAGAUUAUAUUGCUUCUGUUACUUUGGAUUCCAUUAAUUAUGAGUGACAUUGAUCUUUCUAGACAUUUUAUUUUAUCAUAGGAAUGGAUAUCAUUCUAUAUGGAUUGUAAUUUUUCGAUACUUUGUGUAGCUUCAGAUGCUGAAAUAUCGCUAUCCUGAUUUUCUUAUGAAUUUAUGUGAUUAUCUAUAAAAGAUAUGAAAGUCCAAAAUCAUGUGUGAAUUUGAAAUGUACUGUAUGGAAGCAAAUCAUUAAUCUACUAUCUGGUAAGAUUUUCGAGGACGAAAAUCCCUAAAGGGGGAGAGUUGUAACAGCCCGAAUUUUGGGCUAGUCGGAAUAAUGGUUUUGGGACCACAAAUUCGACGAGAAAAAAUAUUUAUUUUCAUUAUAUUUUUAUGGUCUACGAUUUCACAAAAUAAUUUCGUGAAAAUUUCGUUUGAAAAUUGACGUUUGGGUACUCAAUUUAGUCAAAAGGACUAAAUUGUAAAAAGUGCAAAAGUUGAGUUCUACAUGUUAGAAGUGUCCAAUUGUUAUGAAAUUUUAAAUUGGAGGUCCUUAAAUGGUAAUUAGACCAUUGAUUAACUUUUUGGACAAAAAUGGACAAGAGAUAAGUGAAAUAGGAAAAUUUUAAGUUGGGGCAUUUUGGUCAUUUAGUAAUUAAAAGAAUUAAAAAGGCCAAAAUAGCCAAAAAUUUGUCCAUCUUCUCCAUGGUGAACGAAAUCAGUAAGGGGGAAGCCAUAUUUAGGGUUUUCAAGCUUCCAAGCUCCAUAGUAAGUGAUUUCAAGUCCCGUUUUUAAUGUUCUUUACAUUUUUAGUCUUGGUAACUUGAUUUAGCUUAUUCUAGCAACAAUUUAAUCUAGUGUUCAUAUUUGGAAAAAUAACCAUAGGUGAAAUAUAUUUAUUUUGAUGUUUUAUGGUAGAAUAUGAAGCUUGAAAUUAUGUUAAAUAACUUUUGCUAGUCGAUUUUAAGUGAAAACGAGUAAAUUGACAUAAUUGGUAAAAAUACCUAAUGUUCAUAAUUAAGUGUUAGAGUGAGAAUUUGAUGUUGUCAUAUAAGGGAAAAAUGUUCAGCGUGUCAUAAAACAUAAGAAAAAAGAAUAAAGUUUAAUUUCCGAGCCUAGGGGCAAAAUUGUAAUUUUGUAAAACUUUAGGGGCAAAAAUGUAAUGUUGCCAAAAUAUGAUUUUUGGCCUGGAUUGAAUAAUGUGAGUGUUAAAUAAGUUAAAUGUGUUAUUAUAAGUCAAGAAAGACAAGGAAUUGACUUUGAUUAGUGAAAAAGAAAAAAAUGAGAAAAAGUGAGAAAUUUCUCGAUUGAACAUUCGAAAUAAAAAGGGAUACGAAUGAAGUGACAGAAAUGAUCACAUGUAUGGCAUGGACUGUGUGUAGGCCACUAUGUGAAAGUGAAAGUGAUGGUCACGUGUGUAGUACUAUGUGCAGGCUACUACGUGUACCAAAAUGAUAGGUCGUAUGUGUAGCACUAUGUGCAGGCUACUACGCAUACCGGAUAGCUUCGAUCACGUGUGUAGUACUAUGUGCAGGCUACUACGUGUAUCGGAUAGUGAUGGUCACAUGUGUAGUACUAUGUGCAGGUUACUAUGUGAACCAGUAUCAUUAAUUAUAAGGUGAUUGUUAUGUGCUGAUCCCACCGGAUAUCAUUGAUUACAAAGGGUGGUUGUUGUGUGCUAAAUCCACCGUGUAUCUGUUAUUAUUCCGAAGUGUUCAUCGGGAAAUUGACUAAGUGAAAAUACAUGAGAUCAUGUAACGGUUAAGUGUGAUUGAAUGAUGAAUAUAUGUGUGGAAUUAAAUUGAAUAAUGAUUGAAAGUGAAAAAGUGAAAUUAUGAAAAAGUAAAAUUAGCAACAAAAUAGUUUUGGACAGUAAUAAUAGUGUGACUUUGAAAACUCACCAAAAAUGGUGAAAAUUAAAUUAGAGAGUGAAUAAGAUAUGAAAUGAAAGCUUAAUGAGUUUAUUUUUACAUAAAAGAAACAGAGCAAGCAAAAGAGUUAUAUAUUUUGAGAUAUUUGAAUUUUAGUGAGGCAGGGUCGGAUUGAUUUCAGAAUCACCUAUUCUGAUUUUGGAAAAUAAUUAAAGUUAUACAAAAAUAAUUAUGAGUUAUAAUUUAUAUGCUUAGUUCAAAGGAAAUAAACGGAAAUAUCAUCUGAAUUCUGUACAAUGAGAUAAUUCAUUUUUAGUGAAGAGAGGUCAGAGAUGUUGAGCAGUGAAACAUAGGUGACUUUAAAAAAUAAACUGUACAAAUUGGAUAACCAAAAAUUUUGAAAAUUUUAUGGUAAGAAGAUAUGAGAGUCUAGUUUCGGGGAAAAUUAACGGAACUUAAUUUGGAGCUCUGUAGAUCUGGAUAAAAAUAAUUUAGCGACUGUAACUCGACUAGACAACUUUGAAUUUAAAUAUAAGUGAAUAGUGAAAUUAUGUAUAAUGUUAUUUAAGCAUGUUAUAUACAUAAAGGAUGUGAGAUGGAGAGGAGGAGGAUGACAAUAAAAUAUAUGAAUGAAUUGUGUAUAAUUGGUUAAAUGUCUGAUUAUAAUCGAUAAAUGUUGAAAUAGGAGUGAUGCGUAUAUUGGUGCAUUACUGGUCAGCUCAUGAGAGAAUAAAGUUUCAUAGCAUAUGCGUGUGGUAUAUUUGGCAUGAAAUGGUGUCAUGAGUGGCUCAUGAAUUAACUGAUGUUGGUAAGUUGAUGCAUAAUUAUAGUAUUCAAAUAUAUACAUAUUUGUAAUAUUUUGCUAUGUGAUUCGAAAAAAGGGGAAUAAAUAGUAUACUAAAAAUUCGGCCAUGGUGCUAGUUUAUGUUGCAUGAGUGUUUUAUGACAUAUCUUAAGUAAUGGAAUGUUAUGAAUUUUGAGAUUAAUUUGCUAGUCAAAUAAAUGACAAAUGAAUUGAUUACGUAUUCGUAAUUUUGACAUAUGCUUGGUAUAUGAAACGUAAUAAUAUAUGCUUGAAUAAAUUUUAAGUAUUCGAAUGACAUGGAUUUAUGGUGAUAAGAUUCGAAUAUUGAAUUCAUGAAGCACAGGUGAUGUAUUAUUGUUGUGUGAUAGCUUGGUUCGAGGAAUUGGCUAGGUAAAUGGUAAGUGAAAGUAUUUAUGGAUAUAGAAGAAAAUUUGGAGUGAAUAUGAAAUUUAGCUCAAUUAAAUGAUUUCAUCAAUUAAACAUUGUGUAUACCAGAAUGUGUUAGUGAAUUACAUAUUCGUAAAUUGACAUUCAAAGUUCAGUUAGUGAUAUAUGAAAAUAACAUGAAAAGAUUUAUGAUUGUGAUUAAUAUUGAUUCUGACUUAAUGUGGAUUCUUCAAUAUUGGAUUGAUUUAACGGAUAUAUUGAGCAUAUGAAUAGGUAUGUAUUGGGCCUCGUAAACCCUAAUUAGCAACUCGAAGAUAAUAAUUUGAAAGUUUUUAAUUUGGAUGAAAUUUUAUAAGUCGAUUUAAUAUGUUUAUAAGUGUAUUUAUUCUGGCAAUGCCUCAUACCCUAUUCCAGCGUAGAAUACGGGUAAGGGGUGUUAUAAUGUGACAUCAUCAGAUUCGGCCCUAAUGUUUAGGCCGAGUUUGGGGUGUUACACGCAACCUACAAUACUGAGUUUUGGAUCAAAGAUUGCAUUUGAACCAAAACUUCAGAUUACGAAUUGAUUGAAUUGGUGGGAGUCUCCAUUUUUCUGUUAAGAAACAAAACCAUAAUUAGAAAACUUAUCAACUUUUCUUAGACGACAGGAAUCUAAUAAAACCCGAAACAAAAGUUUAUACGGUCAAACUAAAAAUAAAAUAAAUAAUGCACCAGAUAGGUAACCCUAAAAGAGAGGUGGUGCACUCUGCACGCUUAAAUACCAAGUCUUUCAAGGAACCAAUCCUAGACAUGCAUUUUCAUAUUGUCUUUUUAAUUCACCGUCGAUAAAUUUCUUUUAAUUCAAUUUAAAGCCACAAUUAAUGCUACCAUAAACAAAAAAGUUUCCCUUUGAUUUGUUAAACGACAGAAUAAAAUUCUGAAACAAAAUCAAAAUUAAUUUUUGUUAAAGGGCAGGAUUAAAUCCCGAAACAAAAUUAUAUCAUUAAAUCAAAAUAAAAUCUAUUAAACGACAGGAAUAAAUCCCGAAAUAGAAUUGUUUGAUUACGUCUUUGUUUGGAAACAAAACAAUAUCGAAUAAAAUCUUGUUAAACGGCGAUAAUAAAUCCUGAAACAGAUUUAUUUAAUUUAGUUCGAAUUUGGAAACAAAAUAAAAUCAAACAAAAUCUUUUUAAACGGCGGAAUAAAUCCCAAAACAGAUUUUAUUUAAUUUAAUAUCUCUUUUUUGGAAAUAAACCAAAUUUGGAAUGAAAUUGUUGAACGGCGGGAAUUAAUCCCGAAAAUAUUUUUAUUUUACUCAUUUUUGGAAAUGAAACAAAAUUGGAAUAAAAUCUUUGAAAGGCGGGAAUCAAUCCCGAAAUGAUUUUUAUAUUACUCAUUUUUGGAAAUAAAACAAAUUUGGAAUAAAAUCGUUGAACGGCGAGAAUCGAUCUCGAAACGAUUUUAUUUUACUCGUUUUUUGAAAUAAAAAAAUUUUAGAAUAAAAUCGUUGAACGGCGGGAAUCAAUCCCGAAAUGAUUUUUAUUUUACUUUUAAUUUCCCGUUUGGAAAUAAAAUCAAAUUAAUGGAAUAAAAUCUAUUGAACGAGGGAAUCAAUCCUAAAACGGAUUUUACUUAUUUUUAAUUUGGAAACAAAAUCGAAUAAAAUCUGUUAAACGGUGGGUAAAAUUUCAAAACAGAUUUUAUUAGUUUUAAUAAAUAUUUGAAAAUAGAAAAUAAAAAAUAAUAGAAGGAAAUAGGAAAUCUGUUGAACGGUUGGGAAAUCCCAAAACAGAUUUAUUUUUUUAAAAAAAAUUUAUUUUCGAAAAAAAUAUGUAAUUUUUUUUUCUUUUUUGCCUUGGUGUUGUGUCAGAUUAGAAAAUUGCAAAUUAGCAUAUCUGUCUUAAGAUUGUUAGACAAAACACAUUAGCAAAUAAAAAUAAUUAAUUAUAAAUAAACACAUAUAAAAUAAAUUAUGAACAUUAUUAUUUAUAGUUAAUUUAUCAAAUAUGAAAAUCAAAUAAAACCAUAAUAAACAAUUGAAAUAAAGGAGAAUUGAGAUUUUACAAAACGUUGAGGCCCGUGAAACACGGUUUCCUUAAGAUAGAUUCGGCUGCUGCUACGGUACUUGGUGUAACGUUGGUCUAAAGUCUCCUAUGAUACAACAACAGUAGUGAUCGAAGUAGUAGCACAUCUACCACGAUCAAUUGAACGGACAAUGUCCUUUUCUAUCAUUGGAAUAUUUAUAAAAUACGAAGGAUGGAAAAAGAGAUUUUUUAGAAUAACAGAAUUUUGGCAAGAGAAAUUAUGAGGGAAUAUGAAAGUGUGUAAAAACCCUUUAGAAUCAUGGCCUUUUAUAGGCAUGGAGAGUGUUGAAAUUUUGGAAAAAAUAUCUCUAAAAUCUGCCAUUAAAUAAAAAAUUUAACAAAUUUAAUGGAAUCAAAUCAAUAAGAUAAGUUUCCAUAUAUAAACAGAUUUUGUUUGUAGAGGAAAAAUGAAUUCAUAUUUGGCUAAAAUAUUCGCAGGCCCAUAUGGGCUUGACCGGCCAUCAGGUUUGGACUUGCACCCCUACGCAUGAGACAAAGCUACAAGUUUAGUUAUUUAAAUACUUUUCAAGAGAGUUCACAUAUAUAAAUACAUCUUACACUUGGUAUUUAACCAAUAUGGGAUCUAAGCCUUUUAUUUUUUCUCAACAAUAUUUCUAAGUAGCUUACUUUGAGCAUCAAUUUCUCAUUCAUCACUCAACCAAUUUGAGCAUAUAAUAUACCGUUGUAAAGGUCUCAUGGGGUAGAAUAUGAAACCAUAAAAUUAUGAUUCAACUCUCUACCUUUAUCUAUUGAGAAUAUGCCUCAAAGUUGCCAUAAAAUGCAAUUUUUCCAACACUAACUUAAUUGUAUUUAAUUCUAAUCUUCCAUUUGACUUACUAAGUAAAAAAACAAAAUAAUAGAAAUAAUAAACAAUAAAUAAAAAAUUCAAAGUGUUGUCUUGAUUUGAAUAAAGAAAUAGUUAAAGCUUUUCUGUUUUCGUACAUGUUCAAACUGUAUUACCAUUCUUGUUAGUAUAAAAAAAAACAAGGUGUUUUCUUUUGAUGCAUAUGUGAUGCAAUGUUACUUUUAACCACUAUUAACUUGGGUGUAAUUAUUUUGUUUUAUUUUGAUGCAUGAAACGUUAAUUGAACAUUUAAUUAUUUGAUUGGUGUAUAUUUGAUUAACACUUCGAUAUGAUCUAUCAUUCUAAUUAAUUAGCAACUAAGUUUUUUUUAAUUUAAUGUUAUUAUUUAUUAUGCUUUAAAGCGAUGAUUUAUAUUAAUAUUUAAGGUUUUUAUUAAAUUAAUAUCAUCUUCAAUUUGGUCUCAAUUCAAUAAAGAAUUUAUCAAAAGUUAGAUAAUUUUAUAAAGUAAUUAAGGUUGUCAAAUCCGAUUAGAUAUCUAAUUCAAAUUUAUUGGUUAUCAAAUAAAUGCUUCCAACAACAUUUGAACCUAAAAACCUUUUAGGUAUAAAGCCAUGCUUUAACGAUUAAUAGUUGCCUUAAAUAUUGAUUAUGAUUUACACAAAUGAAUAAAUGAUUAAUUAAAAACUAAUUAAAUAUUUUCUAAAACUAAAUAUAAUAAUUAAUAUUAAAAUUAAAUAUAUUAUUUUUAUUAGGAAAAUUUAUAUAUAUUUAUCAAAAUCAAGGUGUCAUCGGCUAGUGGUAGUGACUAAUCCGUAAACCUAUCUGGCGAUGGAUACUUAGAAUCCCUAAAUUUAUAUCUAUCUCUUUUAUUAUUUGAUCAACUUAAUUAAUUAAAUUACUUUUAACAAAAAACUAAAAUAAUAUUUAUAUAAUUAAAAUAAAUAUCAUAAUAUGAAUUUACAUUAUAACAUUUGAGAUAUAAUUAUAUUAAUACAUAUUAUAUUAAAAAAACAAUAUACAUACAUAUUUAACUACAUAUAAUAUAUCAAUUGAUGUACAUAAGUAAAUUACGAAUGUAUAAUAAUUAUCAUACAUUUAUGAUAUUAAUGAUAUGCAACUUAAACCUUGAAUGUGAACUAAUUUAAUGAUAGAUUAUAAUAUAUACAAUUAACAUUAUAUAAUUAAGGUAGCUUAUUAAUGAUAUGUAUUUCUAUAUACAUUUAUGUUAUUAUAAUGUAAUUUUUUAUAUUAAUAAUAUGUGAGUUUAAACCCUAAAUGUGUGACUAAUUUUAUGGUAGAUUAUAAUAUAUACAAUUAGCAUGAGUUAAGUAAUUAAGUUAUGUUAGAUUCUUAUGGAACUUUUUAAUUUGUCUAGAAUUCUUAUAUUUAAGUUGUUAAGUAUAUUUAAAUUGCUGUAAAAUUGUUAUGCUUAAUUGGUUUGAAUUGUUAGGUAUAUUUAACUACUGUUAAACCAAGCUUUAUUUAAUAAAUUAUUUUGAUAUAAUAAAUAAAAGAUUUUUGAAUAAAGAUGGUUUUUGAAUAAAGAAUUAAUCUCAAAGUAAAUUCAUUUCAAAGUCUUUCUAAAACUCCAAAUAUUUUGAAAAAUAAUUUGAACACUUAGAAAUAUUUUAGACAAGUUCAAAACCUUUCAAACGUUUUAAACAAAGUGCAAACUGAUCCCUAAACAAAAACUAUCGAUACUUAUUAGUUAGUAUUGAAACCCAUGCAUUUUUAUCGACACUUUUACUAAUAUCGAUACAGUUUUGUAUUCUGACUUCGAAGAAAUUUUUAAGCAAACACAUUGAGUAUCGAUACUUAUAAUUAAGUACUGAUACCUAGAUAAUUUUAUCGAUACCUUGGUUAGUAUCGAUACGGAUUUUGCAUUUUAACUUCGAAGGAUUUUUGAACAAACACAUAAAGUAUCAAUACCCAUAAAAAAAACAUCAAUACCUUUUAUCAGGUAUCAAUAAAUUUCCUUUGGUAUUGAUGUAAAUAGGGAUAACAGUAACUAUACUAUUGCAUUAAAUGCUAAUAGUAUUGAUACCUAUAAAAAGUAUCAAUAACUGUUGUUGCAGGUGACAUAAAUGCAUUGGUAUUUUCAUCUACGAUGGCUCUAUUCAAUUCUAGAACAACCAUAACAGUUGAAAAUCAGUUUGGGAGUAUAAAUACCAUCUUCAAAAGGUUCAACAACAACAAGAGAGUGCAAAAAGAUAAAAAAAAGCUAUCCUAUCAACCUUUGUGCUUAAGUUCUUCAUAUUUUUCUUGUAUACACUUGUGAGAAUCUAUUGUUUUCUUUUAUUAGCUCAAGUGUUUUUCUUUGUAUUAGUGCUUAAUUGGCAAACACCUUUAUCUUGUAAGGAUUAUUUCUUUUUUUUCUUAAUUGUUUGUCUUUGAGAGGGUUUAUGUCUUAAGAUUUGUGUAGAAAUCUUAAGGGAGUUGUAAGGUUAAACCUUAUCCUCACAGGUUAAUCAAAUUAGUGAAUUUGGAAAAAUCUUUAGUUGUGGAAAGCUAAGGUAGUGGAGUAGGUAGUUGAGGAUGAACCACUAUAAAUCAUUGUGUUCAUUGUUUCAUUUUUUCUCUUUGCUUUCACAAAAUUUUAAAAGGCCAAUUCACCCCUCACUUGGCUAAUUUCAGUUGAGUGAUCGAGCUAAUAAUUGGUAUCAUAGCUAGCCUCUAAAUAUGGUUUAACCACCAAGAGAAAAUCCUUGAGGAAGCUCAAUUAUCACCAACUCAACCUACAACAAAUGACAUCCACUUCCA